AUUAAACGCUGGCGGCAUGCCUUACACAUGCAAGUCGAACGGCAGCACGGGGGCAACCCUGGUGGCGAGUGGCGGACGGGUGAGUAAAGCAUCGGAACGUAUCCUGGAGUGGGGGAUAACGUAGCGAAAGUUACGCUAAUACCGCAUAUUCUGUGAGCAGGAAAGCAGGGGAUCGCAAGACCUUGCGCUCUGGGAGCGGCCGAUGUCGGAUUAGCUAGUUGGUGGGGUAAAGGCCUACCAAGGCGACGAUCCGUAGCGGGUCUGAGAGGAUGAUCCGCCACACUGGGACUGAGACACGGCCCAGACUCCUACGGGAGGCGGCAGUGGGGAAUUUUGGACAAUGGGCGGAAGCCUGAUCCAGCCAUGCCGCGUGAGUGAAGAAGGCC
rnacentral:rRNA from 1 species